rnacentral:ncRNA from 1 species
CCGUGAGGGACUCAGUGCGAAAGAAGUCUGUAGCAAAGGCACGACCGUAGGAACACGAACAGGCAGUGAGGCGGUGAUGCGGGCGAUGAGCGUGCGAGAGAACGCAAAAUCCAAUAGUCACCAAAAGACGCAUCGGGUAGAGCCUGACGGCACGUGCCGAAAGUC